rnacentral:rRNA from 1 species
CCUACGGGAGGCAGCAGUGGGGAAUAUUGCACAAUGGGGGAAACCCUGAUGCAGCGAAGCCGCGUGAGUGAUGAAGUAUUUCGGUAUGUAAAGCUCUAUCAGCAGGGAAGAUAAUGACGGCACCUGACCAAGAAGCUCCGGCUAAAUACGUGCCAGAAGCCGCGGUAAUACGUAUGGAGCAAGCGUUAUCCGGAUUUACUGGGUGUAAAGGGAGCGCAGACGGCAGGGCAAGUCUGAUGUGAAAGUCCGGGGCUCAACCCCGGGACUGCAGUGGAAACUGUCCGACUAGAGUGCAGGAGAGGUAAGUGGAAUUCCUAGUGUAGCGGUGAAAUGCGUAGAUAUUAGGAGGAACACCAGUGGCGAAGGCAGCUUACUGGACUGUAACUGACGUUGAGGCUCGAAAGCGUGGGGAGCAAACAGGAUUAGAUACCCGGGUAGUC